rnacentral:rRNA from 1 species
CACGUAGGGCGCGAGCGUUGUCCGGAAUUAUUGGGCGUAAAGAGCUCGUAGGCGGUGUGUCACGUCGUUCGUGAAAACCUGCAGCUUAACUGUGGGCGUGCGGUCGAUACGGGCAUCACUGGAGUUCGGCAGGGGAGACUGGAAUUCCUGGUGUAGCGGUGAAAUGCGCAGAUAUCAGGAGGAACACCGGUGGCGAAGGCGGGUCUCUGGGCCGAUACUGACGCUGAGGUGCGAAAGCGUGGGGAGCAAACAGG